UACGUAGGGCGCAAGCGUUGUCCGGAAUUAUUGGGCGUAAAGAGCUCGUAGGCGGUCUGUCGCGUCGGCUGUGAAAACCCGGGGCUCAACCCCGGGCCUGCAGUCGAUACGGGCAGACUAGAGUGUGGUAGGGGAGACUGGAAUUCCUGGUGUAGCGGUGAAAUGCGCAGAUAUCAGGAGGAACACCGGUGGCGAAGGCGGGUCUCUGGGCCAUAACUGACGCUGAGGAGCGAAAGCGUGGGGAGCGAACAGG
rnacentral:rRNA from 1 species